UACGAAGGGGGCUAGCGUUGUUCGGAAUUACUGGGCGUAAAGCGUGCGCAGGCGGCCUUCCAAGUCAGGGGUGAAAGCCCAGAGCUCAACUCUGGAAUUGCCUUUGAGACUGUGAGGCUUGAGUACGGGAGAGGUGAGUGGAAUUCCCGGUGGAGUGGUGAAAUGCGUAGAGAUCGGGAGGAACACCAGUGGCGAAGGCGGCCGGCUGGGGGUGCCCUGACGCUGAGGCGCGAAAGCGUGGGGAGCGAACCGG
rnacentral:rRNA from 1 species